AGGACGAACGCUGGCGGCGUGCUUAACACAUGCAAGUCGAGCGGUAAGGCCUUUCGGGGUACACGAGCGGCGAACGGGUGAGUAACACGUGGGUGAUCUGCCCUGCACUCUGGGAUAAGCCUGGGAAACUGGGUCUAAUACCGGAUAUGACCUGCUCUCGCAGUGGGGGUGGGUGAAAGAUUUAUCGGUGCAGGAUCGGGCCCGCGGCCUAUCAGGUCUUGGUUGGUGGGUAAUCGGCCUACCGAAGGCGACGACGGGUAGCCGACUGAGGAGGGU
rnacentral:rRNA from 1 species